AUUGAACGCUGGCGGCAGGCUUAACACAUGCAAGUCGAGCGGGGAAAGGUAGCUUGCUACCUGACCUAGCGGCGGACGGGUGAGUAAUGCUUAGGAAUCUGCCUAUUAGUGGGGGACAACAUUCCGAAAGGAAUGCUAAUACCGCAUACGCCCUACGGGGGAAAGCAGGGGAUCUUCGGACCUUGCGCUAAUAGAUGAGCCUAAGUCAGAUUAGCUAGUUGGUGGGGUAAAGGCCUACCAAGGCGACGAUCUGUAGCGGGUCUGCGAGGAUGAUCCGCCACACUGGGACUGAGACACGGCCCAGACUCCUACGGGAGGAAGCAGUGGGGAAUAUUGGACAAUGGGCGAAAGCCUGAUCCAGCCAUGCCGCGUGUGUGAAGAAGGCCUUUUGGUUGUAAAGCGCUUUAAGCGAGGAGGAGGCUACCGAGAUUAAUACUCUUGGAUAGUGGACGUUACUCGCAGAAUAAGCACCGGCUAACUCUGUGCCAGCCGCCGCCGUAA
rnacentral:rRNA from 1 species